AACUGCGAUGCGGAGCAACUUUUGCAAUGUAGUUGAGGGUAUCUUCAAUUAGAUAUAAGAUAGUGGUGGUGAACCUCACUUGCAUCAAUAGAAAAGACACAUUGGUAAAACUUUUUGAUGUUUUUGAAUCUUUGAAUAUCAAAAUAAUUACUGCAAAUAUCAUUACAUUUUCCGAGACAAUUCUCAACACGACUUUCAUUGAGGCUGAUGAGGAAGAGAGCAAUCUUUUGAGGUUAAGGAUUCAAAGUACUAUAGCUUCUCUAAAUAAUCUAGAUAAACCUAUGAGCUCUUAGAACAAUAAUCAUUUUGAUUCAACUAUAUUUCUCCUUCAUGAGAAUACGGAUGUAUUUAUUCCAAGGGUGUUUUUUUUCUAGAUGAUCUUAAAGUUUGGUCACCUUUGAAUAGUUAUUAAUUUAUGUAGUUUGUAGUUGGUAUUUUUCA